rnacentral:rRNA from 1 species
UACGAAGGGGGCUAGCGUUGCUCGGAAUUACUGGGCGUAAAGGGCGCGUAGGCGGAUACUUAAGUUAGAGGUGAAAGCCCAGGGCUCAACCCUGGAAUUGCCUUUGAUACUGGGUAUCUUGAGUUCGGGAGAGGUGAGUGGAACUCCGAGUGUAGAGGUGAAAUUCGUAGAUAUUCGGAAGAACACCAGUGGCGAAGGCGACUCACUGGCCCGAUACUGACGCUGAGGCGCGAAAGCGUGGGGAGCAAACAGG